GGGCAAGAGAAAAGAAAAGAAAGAUGGCUACCCAUGCGGAAAGAGAACAUGGCCGAACAGUUGCAGCCAGUGACGCUUUCAUCAAUGCCUUGAAAAGAUACAAUCUCACAGAUAAAGAGUUUAUCACUAAAGAUGAAUUGAUCAACGCAUUACAGGAU
rnacentral:sRNA from 1 species